UGAGGAAUAUUGGACAAUGGGUGAGAGCCUGAUCCAGCCAUCCCGCGUGAAGGAUGACGGUCCUAUGGAUUGUAAACUUCUUUUGUACAGGGAUAAACCUACUCUCGUGAGGGUAGCUGAAGGUACUGUACGAAUAAGCACCGGCUAACUCCGUGCCAGCAGCCGCAGUAAUACGGAGGGUGCAAGCGUUAUCCGGAUUUAUUGGGUUUAAAGGGUCCGUAGGCGGACUUGUAAAUCAGUGGUGAAAUCUCAUAGCUUAACUAUGAAACUGCCAUUGAUACUGCAGGUCUUGAGUAAAUUUGAAGUGGCUGGAAUAAGUAGUGUAGCGGUGAAAUGCAUAGAUAUUACUUAGAACACCAAUUGCGAAGGCAGGUCACUAAGAUUUAACUGACGCUGAUGGACGAAAGCGUGGGGAGCGAACA
rnacentral:rRNA from 1 species